GAUGAACGUUGGCGGUGUGCCUAAUACAUGCAAGUCGAACGAAGACCCCGGUGCUUGCACUGGGUGUUCUUAGUGGCGAACGGGUGAGUAACGCGUUGGUGAUCUGCCCCAAAGAGAGGGACAACAGUCCGAAAGGACUGCUAAUACCUCAUGUGGUCACGAGAGUUAGAGGUCUCGUGUCUAAAUGGAUUUAUUCGCUUUGGGAGGAGCCUGCGUCCCAUCAGCUAGUUGGUAAGGUAACGGCUUACCAAGGCGACGACGGGUAGGGGACCUGAGAGGGUGGUCCCCCACAAUGGUACUGAAACACGGACCAU
rnacentral:rRNA from 1 species